GCCGGAAUAGCUCAGUCGGUAGAGCAGAGGACUGAAAAUCCUCGUGUCAC
rnacentral:tRNA from 6 species